rnacentral:rRNA from 1 species
UACGGGGGGGGCAAGCGUUGUUCGGAAUUACUGGGCGUAAAGGGCUCGUAGGCGGCCAACUAAGUCAGACGUGAAAUCCCUCGGCUUAACCGGGGAACUGCGUCUGAUACUGGAUGGCUUGAAUUCGGGAGAGGGAUGCAGAAUUCCAGGUGUAGCGGUGAAAUGCGUAGAUAUCUGGAGGAAUACCGGUGGCGAAGGCGGCAUCCUGGACCGACAUUGACGCUGAGGAGCGAAAGCCAGGGGAG